UUGAGCGGAGAUAUAUGGAGCUUGCUUUAUAUAACUUAGCAGCGAACGGGUGAGUAACACGUAGAUAAUCUAUCCUAUACUGGGGGAUAGCCCGAUGAAAGUUGGAUUAAUACCGCAUAUAGCUAUAUAGUUGCAUGAUUAUGUAGUGAAAGAUUUAUUGGUAUAGGAGGAGUCUGCGGCACAUUAGCUAGUAGGUGAGGUAAAGGCUUACCUAGGCGACGAUGUGUAGCCGGUCUGAGAGGAUGAACGGCCACAAUGGAACUGAGACACGGUCCAUACUCCUACGGGAGGCAGCAGUGGGGAAUAUUGCACAAUGGGGGAAACCCUGAUGCAGCAACGCCGCGUGAGUGAAGAAGGUUUUCGGAUUGUAAAGCUCUGUUAGCAGGGAAGAGGAAGGACGGUACCUGCAGAGGAAGCCACGGCUAACUACGUGCCAGCAGCCGCGGUAAUACGUAGGUGGCAAGCGUUGUUCGGAAUAACUGGGCGUAAAGGAUGCGUAGGCGGUUAAACAAGUUAUAUGUUAAAUAUAUAGGCUUAACCUGUAGAAAGCAUAUAAAACUGUUUAACUAGAGUGCAGGAGAGGUAAGUGGAAUUCCUAGUGUAGCGGUGAAAUGCGUAGAGAUUAGGAAGAACACCAGUGGCGAAGGCGACUUACUGGACUGUAACUGACGCUGAGGCAUAAGAGCAUGGGGAGCAAACAGGAUUAGAUACCCUGGUAGUCCAUGCUGUAAACGAUGGGUACUAGGUGUGGGUUGUGAAUAACAAUUCGUGCCGUCGCAAACGCAAUAAGUACCCCGCCUGAGGAGU
rnacentral:rRNA from 1 species